CCUACGGGUGGCAGCAGUGGGGAAUAUUGCACAAUGGGGGAAACCCUGAUGCAGCGACGCCGCGUGAGUGAAGACGUAAUUCGUUAUGUAAAGCUCUAUCAGCAGGGAAGAAAAUGACGGUACCUGAGUCAGAAGCCCCGGCUAACUACGUGCCAGCAGCCGCGGUAAUACGUAGGGGGCAAGCGUUAUCCGGAUUUACUGGGUGGAAAGGGAGCGUAGACGGCAGUGCAAGUCUGGAGUGAAAGGCGGGGGCUCAACCCCCGGACUGCUCUGGAAACUGUACGGCUGGAGUGCAGGAGAGGUAAGUGGAAUUCCUGGUGUAGCGGUGAAAUGCGUAGAUAUUAGGAGGAACACCAGUGGCGAAGGCGGCUUACUGGACUGUAACUGACGUUGAGGCUCGAAAGCGUGGGGAGCAAACAGGAUUAGAUACCCCAGUAGUC
rnacentral:rRNA from 1 species